CCUACGGGAGGCAGCAGUGAGGAAUAUUGGUCAAUGGGCGCGAGCCUGAACCAGCCACGUAGCGUGAAGGCUGACUGCCCUACGGGUUGUAAACUUCUUUUAUAAAGGAAUAAAGUGAGGCACGGGUGCCUUUUUGUAUGUACUUUAUGAAUUAGGAUCGGCUAACUCCGUUCCAGCAGCAGCGGUAAUACGGAGGAUCCGAGCGUUAUCCGGAUUUAUUGGGUUUAAAGGGAGCGUAGAUGGGUUGUGACGUCAGUUGUGAAAGUUUGCGGCUCAACCGUAAAAUUGCAAUUGAUCCUGGCAGUCUUGAGUACAGUUGAGGUAGGCGGAAUUCGUGGUGUAGCGGUGAAAUGCGUAGAUAGAACGAAGAACACCGAGUGCGAAGGCAGCUUACUAAACUGCCACUGACAUUGAUGCUCGAAAGUGUGGGUAUCAAACAGGAUUAGAUACCCGAGUAGUC
rnacentral:rRNA from 1 species